ACUCCUACGGGAGGCAGCAGUGGGGAAUAUUGCACAAUGGGCGAAAGCCUGAUGCAGCGACGCCGCGUGAGGGAUGACGGCCUUCGGGUUGUAAACCUCUUUCAGCAGGGAAGAAGCGAAAGAGACGGUACCUGCAGAAGAAGCACCGGCUAACUACGUGCCAGCAGCCGCGGUAAUACGUAGGGUGCGAGUGUUGUCCGGAAUUAUUGGGCGUAAAGAGCUUGUAGGCGGUUUGUCGCGUCUGCCGUGAAAUUUCGGGGCUCAACCCCGAACUUGCGGUGGGUACGGGCAGACUAGAGUGUGGUAGGGGAGACUGGAAUUCCUGGUGUAGCGGUGAAAUGCGCAGAUAUCAGGAGGAACACCGAUGGCGAAGGCAGGUCUCUGGGCCACUACUGACGCUGAGAAGCGAAAGCAUGGUGAGCGAACAGGAUUAGAUACCCUGGUAG
rnacentral:rRNA from 1 species